UACCUGGCAUAUAAUUCGCGACGAAAAGAUAACAAGAGUGCGCGAAUUUUUCUUUAAUUUGUCAUUUUAACUCACUUAUAACUGAUAUUUUCAUAUUAUAAAGUCAUUUUUAGAGGUGGUAAUAAGUUUCACUUGGAAACUUAAAAAAUGAAGGCCCUCAACACUAAAUUUGAAAAAGGAACACCAAAAAAGGAAAUAAAAUAGGCUAGAUAUUGAUUGGUACAGGUGACAAGAGACCCUUUUGUAAUUACUGAACUUACGAGUUCUUAUGCAUUUAUGAGCAUGAUGUUGAGUGGCCAAUUGGUGAAUGCAGAAUUGCACAUAUGUAUAGUACUACGUACCAUACGUAACUGCGAAUGAUUAGGACCAUGUACAAGUUAAAUCCCGCCAGAGUGAUGGUAUCUUGUGUAAUCUCGGGGGUUGGCCGCAACGUUUACCAGUGAUCAGUCCAACACUUGUCGUCAUAUCGGUAGCAUCACUAGUACCAUCCUUAAUCGGGCGCCCCCGAUCUACUUUCGAGUAUCAUGAGGUCCCUCGAUAUUUCUGCUUUCUUCCUUUUCUUAACAGGCCUAUCUGUGAUAGAGGCUGCUGAUUGGACGUACGAGGGGGAUCAUGGCCCCGAAAAC